rnacentral:rRNA from 1 species
UGGGGAAUUUUGGACAAUGGGCGAAAGCCUGAUCCAGCAAUGCCGCGUGUGUGAAGAAGGCCUUCGGGUUGUAAAGCACUUUUGUCCGGAAAGAAAUCCUUGGCUCUAAUACAGUCGGGGGAUGACGGUACCGGAAGAAUAAGCACCGGCUAACUACGUGCCAGCAGCCGCGGUAAUACGUAGGGUGCAAGCGUUAAUCGGAAUUACUGGCGUAAAGCGUGCGCAGGCGGUUUGCUAAGACCGAUGUGAAAUCCCCGGGCUCAACCUGGGAACUGCAUUGGUGACUGGCAGGCUAGAGUAUGGCAGAGGGGGGUAGAAUUCCACGUGUAGCAGUGAAAUGCGNUAGAGAUGUGGAGGAAUACCGAUGGCGAAGGCAGCCCCCUGGGCCAAUACUGACGNCUCAUGCACGAAAAGCCGUGGGGAGCAAAACAGGAUUAGACACCCUGGUAAGUCCACGCCCUAAACGAUGUCAACUAGUUGUUGGGGAUUCAUUUCCUUAGUAACGUAGCUAACGCGUGAAGUUGACCGCC